GAUCAAUCCUAUAUAGGGAAUAAAUUUGGCACGAUCAGAUGAAAUCAGGAUCGUUCGAUCGUGACUGAAGGAAAAACAAAUCUGGGUCGUCCGUGCCUGCGGGAGGAGAUCUAGGCUGUUGGAUAUGCUAGCACGCGAAUCGCCCGCUUGUCCUCCUGCGUGGACGCAUGCCACAUGUCUGCCACACGACGCAUGGUGACCGGCCGCUCUAUUAACGUGGCGAUCCACGUGGCCAAAGUUUUAUUGUUUUUACUUUUACCCUAAUUUUUCAAAUUUCUUCUCAAAUAGCUCCUUCCUUAUUUUUACUUUGAUCCUGAUUUUCGAAAAUAUUUUGAAAUG
rnacentral:lncRNA from 1 species